AACCUGGGAACUGCAUCCGAAACUGGCAGGCUUGAGUCUUGUAGAGGGGGGUAGAAUUCCAGGUGUAGCGGUGAAAUGCGUAGAGAUCUGGAGGAAUACCGGUGGCGAAGGCGGCCCCCUGGACAAAGACGGACGCUCAGGUGCGAAAGCGUGGGGAGCAAACAGGAUUAGAUACCCUGGUAGUCCACGCCGUAAACCAUGUCGACUUGGAGGUUGUGCCCUUGAGGCGUGGCUUCCGGAGCUAACGCGUUAAGUCCACCGCCAGGGGAGUACGGCCGCAAGGGUAAAACUCAAAUGAAUUGACGGGGGCCCGCACAAGCGGUGGAGCAUGUGGUUUAAUUCGAUGCGAUGCGAACAACCUUACCUGGU
rnacentral:rRNA from 1 species